UUCCUAGGUGAACCUGCGGAGGGAUCGUUACUGAGUUUACGCUCUAUAACCCUUUGUGAACAUACCUAUAACUGUUGCUUCGGCGGGUAGGGUCUCCGUGACCCUCCCGGCCUCCCGCCCCCGGGCGGGUCGGCGCCCGCCGGAGGAUAACCAAACUCUGAUUUAACGACGUUUCUUCUGAGUGGUACAAGCAAAUAAUCAAAACUUUUAACAACGGAUCUCUUGGUUCUGGCAUCGAUGAAGAACGCAGCGAAAUGCGAUAAGUAAUGUGAAUUGCAGAAUUCAGUGAAUCAUCGAAUCUUUGAACGCACAUUGCGCCCGCCAGCAUUCUGGCGGGCAUGCCUGUUCGAGCGUCAUUUCAACCCUCAAGCUCUGCUUGGUGUUGGGGCCCUACAGCUGAUGUAGGCCCUCAAAGGUAGUGGCGGACCCUCCCGGAGCCUCCUUUGCGUAGUAACUUUACGUCUCGCACUGGGAUCCGGAGGGACUCUUGCCGUAAAACCCCCCAAUUUUCCAAAGGUUGACCUCGGAUCAGGUAGGAAUACCCGCUGAACUUAAGCAUAUCA
rnacentral:rRNA from 1 species